rnacentral:rRNA from 1 species
UCCAGACUCCUACGGGAGGCAGCAGUGGGGAAUAUUGGGCAAUGGGCGCAAGCCUGACCCAGCAACGCCGCGUGAAGGAAGAAGGCUUUCGGGUUGUAAACUUCUUUUAAGAGGGAAGAGCAGAAGACGGUACCUCUUGAAUAAGCCACGGCUAACUACGUGCCAGCAGCCGCGGUAAUACGUAGGUGGCAAGCGUUGUCCGGAUUUACUGGGUGUAAAGGGAGCGUAGCCGGUCCUGCAAGCCAGAUGUGAAAGCCCGGGGCUCAACCCCGGGACUGCAUUUGAAACUGUCAGGCUGGAGUGCAGGAGAGGCAAGUGGAAUUCCUAGUGUAGCGGUGAAAUGCGUAGAUAUUAGGAGGAACACCAGUGGCGAAGGCGGCUUACUGGACUGUAACUGACGUUGAGGCUCGAAAGCGUGGGGAGCAAACAGGAUUAGAUACCCUUGUAGG